UGCCCAUGGACGCCACUGAGGCAGCAUCGUUAAAGUCUUUCUUCUCCCCGCGAUCAUGUCUAAGUCAGAGUUUCCUAAAGAGCCUGAACAGCUGAGGAAGCUCUUCAUUGGAGGAUUGAGCUUUGAAAUAACCGAUGAGAGCCUCAGGAGCCAUUUUGAGCAAUGGGGAAUGUUCACAGACUGUGUGGUCAUGAGAGAUCCAAACAUUAAGCGCUCCAGGGGCUUUGGGUUCAUCACGUAUGCAACUGUGGAGGAGGUGGAUGCAGUCAUGAAUGCAAGGCCACACAAAGUGGAUGGAAGAGUUGUGGAACCAAAGAGAGCUGUCUCAAGAAAAGAUUCUCAAAUAUCAGGUGCCCACUUAACUGAAAAAAAUAUUCUUUGGUGGCAUUAAAGAAGACACUGAAGAACAUCACCUAAGAGAUUAUUUUGAACAGUAUGGAAAAAUUGAAGUGAUUGAAAUCAUGACCGACAGAGGCAGUGGCAAGAAAAGGGGCUUUGCCUUUUUAACCUUUGAUGACCAUGACUCCAUGGAUAAGAUUGUCAUUCAGAAAUACCAUACUGUGAAUGGCCACAACUGUGAAGUUAGGAAAGCCCUGUCAAAGCAAGAGAUGGCUAGUGCUUCAUCCAGCCAAAGAGGUCGAAGUGGCUCUGGAAACUUUGGUGGUGGUCGUGGAGGUAGUUUUGGUGGGAAUGACAAUUUUGGUCGUGGAGAAAACUUCAAUGGUCAUGGUGGCUUUGGUGGCAUCCAUCGUGGUGGUGGAUAUGGUGGCAGUGGGGAUGGCUAUAAUGGAUUUGGUAAUGAUGGAGGCAAUUUUGGAGGUGGUGGAAGCUACAAUGAUUUUGGCAGUUACAACAAUCAGUCUUCAAAUUUUGGACCCAUGAAGGGAGGAAAGUUUGGAGGCAGAAGCUCUGGCCCCUAUGGUGGUGGCGGCCAAUACUUUGCCAAACCACAAAACCAAGGUGGCUAUGGUGGUUCCAGUAGCAGCAGUAGCUAUGGCAGUGGCAGAAGAUUUUAAUUAGGAAACAAAGCUUAGCAGGAGGGGAGAGCCAGAGAAGUGACAGGGAAGCUACAGGUUACAACAGAUUUGUGAACUCAGCCAAGCACAGUGGUGGCAUGGCCUAGCUGCUACAAAGAAGACAUGAUUUAGACAAAUAUUCAUGUGUAUGGGCAAAAAACUCGAGGACUGUAUUUUAGACUUAUUGUAUAACAGGUUAGUUUAGUUUCUGUUCUGUGGAAAGUGUAAAGCAUUCCAACAAAGGGUUUUAAUGUAGAUUUUUUUUUCUUUUUUUUUUUUUUUGCACCCAUGCUGUUAAUUGCUAAAUGUAAUAGUCUGAUCGUGACGCUGAAUAAAUGUCUUUUUUUAAAUAAAUAAAUAAAUAAAAAUAAAAUUGCUUCUUAGAUCAUGUUUUACUAGAAGUCAGUUCAUCUCCAGGGUACUAACUAAUUCAAGCCCUCCACAAUUCUGUUAGUUUCUUGCAAAUGAAGUUUCUGAUGGUGAUGGUGUUCCUUCUUUUGGUGUGAUUUAUUUGAUUAUGUUUGAAUUCAGUUAGUCUCAGUAGUCAGGGUAGGAGCUUGGUGGUAGCCAGAUCAAAGAAUUUGGAAUUACCAGCCUUAUAAGAGAUAAUUUCUGUUGUAUUCAUUCAUUUUAACUGUUAAUUUCUUAUUCACUGAAAAAGAACUUGGUCUAAUUAAAAACAGAACAAAAUUUUGCAAAUUUGAGCUUGGUCUGUGGACUUAUUUUAAGGCAUACUGUUAGUGGUGAAUAUUGGGAACCCACCUAUGGAAAAAGUUUGAGAGCCUAUAAUUUAUUUUUUUAAAUAUGGAAUUUAGUGUUAGUUUUUUGUUAAGUAUAGAAGUCUUACUUACAGUAAACAUUCUGAUGGAAAUAUUUUAGUUAAAGGAUGGGAAACUGACAAUACGUCAUUAAGAGUUCUGCUAGCAUUUUUCCCAUUAGAGCACAAUGACUCCAAACAAAGAGGAAAUGAUAUGGGUGAACCACCGCAUCCUCCAUUUACAUGAAGAGGAAAACACAUUGAGCUCUUGUGAAAGUUUUAUGUCUUCUACAUUUGAGCCCUCUGACCAUAUUUUGAAAGAAACAUGCAUUUCAAAUAAAGUAUGCAAACACUGAACUUUCCAAAGCAAAAAUUUUGUUAUCCCUUUCAUUGCAUUAUUUCAAGGUUUUAAAUAUUUAAAUUAAAAAUACUCCACUUUAUUCCUCUACAGUAUCAGGUAACUAUGCACUCCUUGACUCGCCUUUUCUUCAUGAUUUUCAUGGUUGUUGUAUUGAUCCAUUCCUUUGCUAUUACAAAGAGCUACACUCAGCUAACAAAAAGUUUCAAGACCUUGGCAAACAUUUCAAAAUUAUUAGAUUACAAAAAGUAAAUGAGAUAUAAUUGCUUUCAUCUUCCAAUAGACUAUCAUGUUACCUUUCUCCAUUACAAAUAAUCUGUGGGGAAAUUAAGUUUAUGACCAUUUCAAAUAAUUAGGCUCAUUAACAGCUUAUGACUUAAGAGGUAAAGCCACAUCAUUCACAUCAUUUAGUAACCAACUAUAAUAUUUAAAUGAGCUCAUAAUUACCCACCAGUUAUUUGAAUCAUCCUCAAAGAUUUGAGUUCAAUGCAUUAUUUACUGACAGACACAUUUUUAAAAGCUUCUUACACUUGGAUAACCAUUCCAUCUGAAUGUCUUCACUCUUUGUCUUCUUCACAUGCUUAAAGUAAGGACACUUGGGAUGGUCUUUUCAUUGUCUUGCCUUGUUACUCAACCUCAUUUUUAUGUACAUUCCAUUGCCUGAAUUCAAUUUCCAUGUUUGAACCCCUGCAAAUCUAAUGAGUUCUUAAGACCUCACUGACUACCUCAUCCCACAGUCUCUUUUGCAUCCUAAAAGUUUCAUUUCUGACCCAAUAUAUUUUCCCCUUUAUCUCAUAAUAACUUUAUAAUAGAUGUUGAAUUUUCCAAAACUAUGACUUGUAAUGUGUUUUAUCAGCCUGUUUGAUCAUAAGUGACUGUAAAAGGCUGUAUUGUUUACUUGUCUUGAAACUUGCAGUGUUUCUCAUAGUCUACUGUUACUAAACCAAACGUGGGUCUGCUUGCCUGGCACAGUAAAGCCAAACACCCACACCAAGGUUUGCAGCAAGAGUAAGGAGGGCAUUUAUUUGCAGGGUGCCAAGCAAGGAGAAUUGGGCAGCUAAUUCUUCAGAGCUGGCCUCCCCAGUGGCCCAAAAGCAAGGGCUCUUAAAAGCAGAGGUGUAUUUUAGGAAAGCAGAAGUUACAGUCAAAACUGUAAAUCAACCUGGGGAUUAUAUUAAUAUAUUUGUUUUGCCCAAAAUGGCAGGCUCUCUUCAAGUGGGGCUUACAGGGCAUAGGUGGAUUCAGAUAUUCUUUGGUUUACAGUUGCUUAGGGAAGUCAAGACUUUGUUUAAAAACUUGGGGUCAUCAGAAGGGAAUGUUGUGAUUUGACCAGUGGGCGUUACGCUCUUUGUGCCCUUCAGGAAAAAAUUUAGAACAAAGAACAGCAAGCAGAUUUCAUAUUCCCCUUAUCUGAAGUCUAUGUAACUGUGGUUGGCAUUUUUCAUCUGAUGGGGUCUGGGUUUCUGAAAAACAACUUAGGGACAUGUGUCAUCUUUAGUUUCUAUAGGGAACCAAACGUUUUGUCCUUCUUGCUUAUUGAAUUGCUGAUUUACUUGUCAAGGCUAGCUAUAUGCCUGGAAUUUCUCUUGAAGGGACUCAAGACUUUUCCCUUAUUUUCAUGCUUGGGGUGUCUGAGCAGGCCCCUAAGAGGGGUCUCUGCUGUGUCUUGCUACAAGAGCUGUUUUUAAAAUAAAUGUGUGAAUAAAUGAAUAAAUGGAAAAUAGCUGAUUUAGGCUGAAGAAAUCACAUUUGUGAGUUUUUUUCCUGCUUAGUAGAGGUAGAUUAAUUUGAUCUAUCUCUUCAUGUCUUAAUUCAUAUAAUCUAAAAUAACAUAAUUUGAACAUAAAUUAAAUUUUUAAAAGGUCUCACUUUUACAAAUAAACUAGAACUAGUUUUGGAUCUUUAUGUCAUGGUCUUCCUAAGAACAAUUCUUUCCAAUGGAAAUACCAGAUUAAUAGCAGUGUCUCAGUUGUUAGGCUGUUUCAAGGAAGGGAUAAGUGAAAGGUAUGGCAAAGCACAUAGGUCAGUUCAUAUUGGAUGUCACAUAUUUAAAGAUUUUAUUAUGAAAACAAUGGGCAAUGUAUUUGUAUAUAUAUUUAAAUAUGUACCUGCCCAUUUUUUCACAUAAGGAUUCUUUUCAUAGCUGUACAUAAAUGCAUUGAAUACAGCAGCAUAAAAUAACAUUUUAAAUAAGCAGAUAAGGAAAAGAGGGUUAAAAUUGUGAUAGGAGAGAAGAUAAAAGCCUGAAAUUAGGUUAGAAUGUGAAAUCUUAUUCAAAAAUCUUUUACUUUUGCUAGACUUGGCCCAUGAAUUAGAUUGGCUCUGAGCAUUUUAUCUGUCAAGGCAAAGGAAAUGAUAGUGCCAUUUUGGAUAACUGGGAAGUAUCCCAAAACAAAACAAUAUGCACAUCAAGUACACCUAUUCUUUAUACUAACACAAGAUAGUAUAUUUUUUCUUGUGGAUCCCUGUAUCAAACAGGAUGGACAGAAUUAUGCUAUAGUAACAAACAUUAGCAAAAUUUUAGUGGCUUAUGCUAACAAAGAUUUAUUUUUCACUUGCACUGUGUGUUCAUUGCAUAUAAGAUGGGGUCUCUAUCUACUAUAGUAACUCAUACAUACAAGCCAAAGGAGACUUUCAUUUAUAAUCAGUGCAGCAGGAGGAAGAGAAAUGGGUGGCUGGAAUAUUGGUUCUUAAAGCUUCCAUUUGGAAAAGACACAUUGCAUCUGAGCUCAAAUUUCUUCAUUUCAUUGCCCACAGCAAGUCCCAUGUUCAUACUUACCUUAACAAACUUAAAGAUAGUUU